rnacentral:rRNA from 1 species
GAUGAACGCUGGCGGCGUGCCUAAUACAUGCAAGUCGAGCGAAUGGAUUAAGAGCUUGCUCUUAUGAAGUUAGCGGCGGACGGGUGAGUAACACGUGGGUAACCUGACCAUAAGACUGGGAUAACUCCGGGAAACCGGGGCUAAUACCGGAUAACAUUUUGAACCGCAUGGUUAGUAAUUGAAAGGCGGAUUCGGCUGUCACUUAUGGAUGGACCAGCGUCGCAUUAGCUAGUUGGUGAGGUAACGGCUCACCAAGGCAACGAUGCGUAGCCGACCUGAGAGGGUUAUCGGCCACACUGGGACUGAGACACGGCCCAGACUCCUACGGGAGGCAGCAGUAGGGAAUCUUCCGCAAUGGACGAAAGUCUGACGGAGCAACGCCGCGUGAGUGAUGAAGGCUUUCGGGUCGUAAAACUCUGUUGUUAGGGAAGAACAAGUGCUAGUUGAAUAAGCUGGCACCUUGACGGUACCUAACCAGAAAGCCACGGCUAACUACGUGCCAGCCGCCGCCGUAA